AUGGUGCCCCCCGGGAAGGGCCACAGGGGAGAGGGGACCCCAGGGCCGGGAGGAGAGAGGAGACUUCCAGGUGUACCUGGAGUGAUGGGGGAUGUUGGACUCAUGAGACCUCCUGGACUGGAUGGAAUGUCUGGAGCUACUGGACUGGAAGGAGAUAAUGGUGAGAAAGGAAAUCAAGGAAACAUGGGGAUGCCUGGUGUUCCGGGGUAACUUGGGAGACAAGGAGAGAAAGGUCUACUCCAGAAGUGAGAACGAUAGCAUCUUCACCGGCUUCCUGCUCUAAGCCGACCCCAAGGCCUGACCUACGACUUUGUCUGUGAACCCGGCUUGACCACUGCAUGAGCUUUAUCUGACAACUUAUGCUGACUGGAUCACCUCCAAACUCUUUUCACUACUCUGAUAAAUGAUCUCUUUCAAUAUAGCUACUGCUACUAACUUUGUUCCUGCUUAUUGCUAUCAAAAUACUCUGACCAAAUGCUUGCUGUAUUUUGAUGGUAAAGGCUGUAACACUUUAUCCAAUGGUUCCCAAACUGUGGGAAGACAUUUUCAGUGGUUCCCGAACAGUGUAAACUUAAAUGACUGACACCAAAUAGAAUGUAUGUAGAAAAGAUAAUGGACGUGUAUAUUUUUCAAUAAUAGCCUAUAAUCUUUGAGAAUUUACAAUCAGCAAAAUAGAGCUAGACAAUCAGGCCCCCAUUGAUUUAGUUAAAAUGCUUGAGCAUAAGAACACCAGCCAUGUCAAAAUUUGGAAAUUAGCUUAAAAACGGAAAACAAAUUAUCUCAGCUCCGUGGCAAAAUGCAUAGAAUUGCAGGGAAUUGACUUUAAAAUGGCAAAAUGUUCUUUCAGCUCCAUGGCAGGAUGUGUGGAAUUGCAGUAGAUUAUCUUUGAAACUGCUACAUUUUCUUAUCUAGAUGCCCAGAUAAUAUUUGUUAAUUAUUCUUUGGUCUGUGUAUGUUUUUUUUUUAAAACAGCUCAACCUUUAUGUUGGGUCACGACUCAAAAGACACCUCAAUCGGUUGGUCAGUUUGGGAACCCCUGCUUUAUACAACGCUUACAGUUUCUAUCAAUGCAUUAAAACACUGCUAAUGCUUGAAAUUAAAAUUGCUUGAAUUUUGUGAGUUUAGGUCUGAACUUAUCUCGACUUUACUACGACUGAUUUUAGUUUUGUCAACUUCCCAAACCCAGCUCUGCUUAGGGACAAUCUCACCCAUUCACUACUUGAAUGUGC
rnacentral:lncRNA from 1 species